UUGGAGGCGGAGAGUGAAAUGGCGGCCUCCCAAUCUCCGCCCCAGAGGAGCUGAGAACUCGGGGCCCCGCUCCUCAGUGCUCCCCCAGAGAAAAGCCGUCAGUCACUCCCGCCUCCCUGGUCUACGGCCGCACUCCGUGCUCACCCGGCCUGGACCGAGGGUUUCUAUCUCUGGCACCCGACCCCGGGUGGAGUCUCCAAACCCAGCAGAUCCCUGCGGUGAGCUCCCGCGUGGCUCCCCCCGGGGGAGGAAGGAUCGCCAGCCCACCCAGACGCUGCAUUCCCUAUGACUUAGAUCUGCCUCUUCCCAGCACCCCUGCCCCAGCAAUUCCACUGUGUUGCCCUAAAUUUGGCCUCUGUUACGGUUAGAGGCUUCCCAAGUAACCACCUGGCCUGCCUUUGGCUUUUCCCUGGAAGGGAACAGGAAGGACACAGGCAUUGGAGCCAAAUCGAUGUGGAGCUGAGUCCUGGUUUUGCUUCUCACCAUCUGGGGACGAGGCUUAAUCCUUUCAGCGUUAAUGUCCUCAGCUGUAAAAUGGGCACAAUAAAGCUGCCCUGAAAACAUGAGGAGCAAUGUAUGUUAGACACCUGGCAAAACAAAUGAUCAGUUAAACCCCCCCUAGCCCACUGGUGCCAGAUCAAUCUCCCCAAAACACAGGUUAGGCUCAAAAUCCACCUGCCGCUGCCCACCGGCCGGAAGUGAAGUACAAACUCCUCGCUUGGGAAGGAUGGAUCUCAAGGAGAAACCCAAGAGACCGCCCAUCACGCGGGGAUGGCUAAGGCAUCAAGACAGGCUGGAGGCAUCAACCUGAUCUCGCAGAGAGAGAUUCAGACCUUGGAGGAAAAAGCAAAAUAAGGGGAGAAAAGGAAGCAGAACGAUGGCCCAGUGUGCAUUCUUUUGGCAACUAGAGCGAGGAAAACGCAGCGCACGGAGGCAUUCUGAAAAAAUGAAUCCGCUGCACUACACCGGGUUGUCCUUGAAACAGACUCCGCCCUCACCUUCGGCGUCGUCCUAAAGGAUCGGCUCUCCUGUGUAGUCAGGUUGGCUCCCGCUUCCUCGCAGAUCUGGGGCGACUUGGGGGAGGGGUUUGUGCCGUGGACCUGCCCCCACCCCCACCCCCGGCCGCGCUGUGCUGCUGAAGGUAAAUCCUGGAAUUGCACGUACGUUCGUGAGAUCAGGCCUCUUCUGUCUGUCGUUUUGCUGCUUGGAAGGCAAAAGACCCCUCCUCGAGGGGCCUGCAUGGAUUGGCCUGGCAUUGGCCCGAGGUCCUGCAAUCGCUGGGCCUGGGUUGCCAUCUCCUUCCUCGGGAGGACUGGGGAGCGGGACAGGUGCAUUGAGACAUUCUAGCCCCCUCCUCGGGGGAGACAGGCAGUGGGACGCAGGGGAACUCUGCAUGGAAAUCAGAAGACCAAGACAUCCCAGUCAUGCCCUGUAGGGUCUGGAUUUCAGGCACCAUUUCAGCCCCUCUGAGCCUGUAAAAUAGGCCUGAUAAGUCGCUGUCAACCCAUUCUUCAUUCUGUGGUUUCCUGAGUGGCUUCCCUAGGGAGUGGAAUAGGGGCAGGCGUCCACAACUAUACCGUGGUUCUUAAACACAAAAAGAAGAUUCUAUGAAAUCAGCAGGUACAAAUUUGAAUCCACAAAGGCACACAGAAAAAAUUCCUCAGAUCAUCACCUUUCCACCCAGAUCACAAAUUCCUCUUCAUGAAGCACACCGUGGUCUCUCUUAAGUGAAAUCUACCUCUCCCGUCCCUGCAUUUGGGUGGCACUCAGCUGCCCACAUGGGACUUGAGCAAGUUAUUGGUCUUCACCUUGCCUGAAAGAUACCUACUUCAUGAGGGUUUUCUCCCCACUACUCAUGUUUCUUUUCAUGUGGCAGGAGCUUUUUAGCAUUACAAACGCCUGACCUUCCUCAGUCUGUUCACUUACUCUGUUUCAGGGAAGUUGGGAUAACUUAUUUGCCUGGAAAGUUUGGAAGGAGAAACCAGGUGUCUCCUCCCACCCCGGUCCCUUCCCCUUUGCUUGAGAAGCCGGUUCCUUCCCUUGGAGUAUGUUCUCUGCAAUUCCAUGAGCAGGGUUCCCCCCUACAGGCCUGCCUCAACCAGCAAAGGAGCAACUGGGCAGUAAGGUUUUAAAUUCUAGGCUUCUAUAUCAACAAUCCCAUGGUGGCGCUUAUACCAAGCUGUGGGGUCGUUUUGAUUGUCUAUGUGUUGGCUCAGUUUGUCCCGUGUCCUCGUUCAGAACUCAGAUGGGGAAGCGGGUUCUGUUUAUUGGCCCCUUGGUAGAUUGUGUUAUUGUUCCAAAUAUUCAGUUCUUCCCUAUGAGAAGAUUAUUCCCUCCACCUCCAACGAAGCCAGACUUGAUCAUUUACUUAAUAUGGCUAACAGACUGUGUGAGUAGAAGUGACAAGUGCCACUUCCCAGAAGUUUUAAGAGCUAAUGCUCUUCCACCAUUGUUCUUCGUCCUUCUUUGCCUUGUUUGUCCCAGACAGGAGCUGCUCUGCCAACUCAGGACAUGUGAGCAUCACUGGAGUUGAUGCUAGAAUAACAGCCCGAGAAGAUAUAGCUGCACACAGUAUUAUGCCGCAGUUUAAAAUUGUGUUUAUCAACCCAAGAGAAGUGAAAACAUAUGUCCACACAAAAACGUGUACCACGUGUUCAUUGCAGCAUUAUUUGUCAUAACCAAAAGGUAGACACAAGCCAUCAAUGGAUGAAUGGAUGAACUGAUGUGGUAUAUUCAUACAGAAUAUUACUAGAACACAGAAUCUUAUUCAGCCAUAAAAAGGAACAACCUACUGAUAUGUGCUAUGACAUGGAUGAACCUUGAAAAAAUGAUGGUCUACCUGUGAAAGAUGGGGAACGUGUCGCAGAAGCAGUGUGUCCGAGGAAGGAAAGGAACUCAUAAGGUUGCCUCAGGAGAAAAGGUAAUUGGGGCAGAGGGAAGGCUUGGGCUAAGCCAUGGCAUCUGACACAUUUGGGGAACUAGAGGCAGUUCAGGGUGGCCCUCAGUCUAUUCCCAUCACUGCUCUUGCUCUCCUCUUUAUUUCGGGGUCCGUGUGUCUCCCAGCCUCUUGUCUUCUUCAUUCGUCGCCAGCCCUGCCCUGUGCACUUGAUUACAAUCUGCAGCUUCCCUGGCCUGGCCUUCGGUGUUCUCUAAGAACCUGGCUCCUACUUUCCCUCUGGCUCAUCCUAGUCCUGGACACUUUGGAUAACCUCCCUGACCAGCCAUCUUUGCCCCUUGGGACCACAAGCCCAGUCCUCAACAGAGACAACCGGACGGAUGCUAACCAGGACAUCUGGGGAUGGGCUGUAGGGCUCUGUCCUCCUGUCCAAAUGCUCUCACUGGUGUCUUAAAUAAAGAUGAAGAAGGCCUGGUUUUCAAGUGUGUGUGCCCAAAUCCGGGGUAAGUGUGGAGACAAUGUGGCAGGAAGCAUUGAGCAUCCUGACAGGUUGGAACAAAGGACCAAAUCUAAGGAGAUGAAAUAUCUGGACCUCAGGGUAUAAAACCAUGCCCAAUGCCAGGAAAGGAGAAGCAUGGCACAGCAGAAUAUCAUAUGAGGAAAGACUUGGGGUUUUAGAAAGGAAAAAGCUCUUGUUGCGUUAAUAAUCUGUGUUUUUAAAGGAAGCGCAUGGACUCCAGGCUGCAUUAAUAAAGAUCUGGUGUCCAGACAAAAGGAGGUGAGAGUCCUGUUGUAUUCCUAUCAGACCACAUGUGAACUAUAGUGUCUGGUUCUGGAAGUUACACUGUGGGAGACAGAGACAAACUUGAACAACGGUUCUUAACCCUGGCUGGACAUUAUAAUCACCUGGGAACUUUCAAGACCCUUGAUGCCCAGGCCAAGGAGAAUCUUGGGGAGGGGGACCUACACAUCAGUAGUUUUUAAACUUAAAAAAAAUAUUUUUUGGCUUACAGGAGAAUUGCAGAAAAUACAGAAAAUUCCCAUAUACCCUUCAUCCAGCUUCCCCUUAUGUUAACGUCUGAUAUAACCACAGCCUAAUGAGCAAAACUAAGAAAUCAAUGCUGGCACAAUGCUAGGCACUGGAUGAUGGACCUUAUUCCAGUUUCACCUGUCCUUCCACUAUUGCCUUUUCUUCUGUUCCAGGAUCCUACCCGGGACCCCACUUGGCAUUUAAUUGUCAUGCCUCCUUAGCAUUCUCCAAUCUGUAACAAUUCCACAGUUCUUUCUUGCCUUCCAUGACUCUAACAUUUUUGAAGAGUACCCAAAGGACGAAAUGUCUGCUGGUUUGGGCUUUUCUGGUGUUCUCUCAUGAUUAGAUUGAGGUUACACAUUUUUGCCAAGGAUACCAUAGUAACUAGUGGAUUUGUGUUUUUUCAGUG